rnacentral:piRNA from 1 species
UGUUAGCAUUUACAAGUACCACAUAAUAGGA